UUUCCGUCGGUAAGUACUUCCGGGCGAAUGUUAUAUAUAUGCCUCCGUUUAGGAAUUGUGCCUUCCUCUAUGUAUAUUCCAAAGAGUUGUUGACUACGCUAUUUGAUGAAGGAAGAGGGAUGUCUAUUCGGUUAUGUAAGUAAACCUGAAAAUUCAAGCCCAAGUUCAAUCUCAAAUUGCAAUUUUGUACAUGGAUGGAAAGAUAGAAGCCGGUGUUUUUCUCAGAAAUGGCUCAAAACUCAUUUUUAAUUUCAGACUAAAUGAAAUUUUUGCCGAACCUAUUGGGCUUUCUCGAGCCCCUGGGCUACCGGUCACCCGAAAAAGAAGGAGACUUCAAUUUACUUCAAGACAUACAAACACGUACCCUUACAUAUGCUUCGCUUCCGGCAGCGCUUGCAUUGCACUAUUCCGCGAACUACUGGUUUUCAAGAAAUCCCAACAUGUACCACAAAAGCUAUAUAUUGAUGGGUGUCUGGAGGUUGCCAAUAAUUGCGUUCUGUGUGUAUUCAGCUGCCAAACCUCUGGACAAGAAACGCAGAGACAUGAUUAUAAUGAAAGACGCAGCUGUUGCACAAAUGGUGCAGAGACAUCCGGAGGAGUUCAGAGAUAUCCUAGAAAGAAAAAAGACGUAUGCUCGACACUUUACUGAUUAUAGUCAGAUUCUGUAUAUGUAAUUGAAUUUGAAUGUACUGAAGAAAACUGGCUAAGCACUGUAGAACACAGAGGUAUUAAAGUUGAGAUGAUAAAUAGCAUCACUUUUAAAAAUAACUUUUGUUACAUAGAGCUUGAAUUAAAAUUGAGUUGAGAA